UUUUAUGCUUUUAUGGCAUACGCAUGCUAGUCACGGUUCAACGAGUAGGAGGGUCGCGGCGAUAUGCUUUGAAGGCUUAGCGGCGUGAGCCGGGCUGGAGCUGUCGUCGGUGCAGAUCUUGGUGGUAGUAGCAAAUACUCAAGCGAGAACCUUGAGGACUGAAGUGGAGAAGCUUCCAUGUGAACAGCAGUUGAACAUGGGUCAGUCGAUCUUAAGACAUCGGCGAAGGCCGUUCAGAAGCGGUGUCGGUUUUGUGGCAGUAUGCUGUUUCGGCAGUGUAUUGUCCGGCUAUAAGCACUCGUUUGUUUGUAGUCGCCGCACCUGUCAAAAGGGAAUUGGAUUAAUAUUUCCAAACCUAACAGCGGAGAUUGGUUGUUCAUUUGGCUGCACGGGCCUUGUGCUCGUUGUAGUCGGGGCAACGCGCUGCGGUAACGCAAACGAACUCGAACACGCUGACUGGAGUCCCGGGAAGAGUUGUCUUUUCUUCAUAAGGAGUCGACUCCAUGGAAUUGGUUCAGCCAGAGAUAUGGAGAUGACGUCCGAAAAGCAUUGCGCUUCUUGCAAUGUCCGGUGCGCUUCAAGCGGCCCAUGAAAAUUCGAGGGAGAGAAUGAUUUUCGUGUUAGAUCGUACCCAUAUCCGCAGCAGGUUUCC
rnacentral:rRNA from 1 species